AGCGCACACGGUGGAUGCCUUGGCGGUCAGAGGCGAUGAAGGACGUGGCAGCCUGCGAAAAGUAUCGGGGAGCUGGCAACAAGCUUUGAUCCGGUAAUGUCCGAAUGGGGAAACCCACCCGCUUGCGGGUAUCCUGCAGUGAAUACAUAGCUGCUGGAAGCGAACCUGGUGAACUGAAAUAUCUAAGUAACCAGAGGAAAAGAAAUCAACCGAGAUUCCGUAAGUAGCGACGAGCGAACGCGGACUAGCCCUUAAGCUGGAUUGGUUCUAGGAAAACGCUCUGGAAAGAGCGGCCAUAGAAGGUGAUAGCCCUGUAUCUGAAAGGGCCAUUCCAGUGAAGACGAGUAGGGCGGGGCACGUGAAACCCUGUCUGAACAUGGGGGGACCAUCCUCCAAGGCUAAAUACUACUGACCGACCGAUAGUGAACCAGUACCGUGAGGGAAAGGCGAAAAGAACCCCGGAGAGGGGAGUGAAAUAGAACCUGAAACCGUGUGCGUACAAGCAGUAGGAGCUCCGCAAGGAGUGACUGCGUACCUUUUGUAUAAUGGGUCAGCGACUUACUGUUCGUGGCAAGCUUAACCGUAUAGGGGAGGCGAAGGGAAACCGAGUCUGAUAAGGGCGCAUAGUCGCGGGCAGUAGACCCGAAACCGGGUGAUCUAGUCAUGCCCAGGGUGAAGGUGCGGUAACACGCACUGGAGGCCCGAACCCACUCCCGUUGCAAAGGUAGGGGAUGAGGUGUGAUUAGGAGUGAAAAGCUAAUCGAACCCGGAGAUAGCUGGUUCUCCUCGAAAGCUAUUUAGGUAGCGCCUCAUAUGUAUCCUCUCGGGGGUAGAGCACUGUUAUGGCUAGGGGGUCAUCGCGACUUACCAAACCAUUGCAAACUCCGAAUACCGAGACGGACUGUAUGGGAGACACACGGCGGGUGCUAACGUCCGUCGUGAAAAGGGAAACAACCCAGACCCACAGCUAAGGUCCCAAAUUCACUGCUAAGUGGAAAACCAUGUGGAAAGGCACAGACAGCCAGGAGGUUGGCUUAGAAGCAGCCACCCUUUAAAGAAAGCGUAAUAGCUCACUGGUCGAGUCGGUCUGCGGGGAAGAUUUAACGGGGCUAAGCAGUGAACCGAAGCUUGGGGUGCAUACUUUGUAUGCGCGGUAGAGGAGCGUUCCGUAAGCCGUUGAAGGUGGAUUGAGAAGUCUGCUGGAGGUAUCGGAAGUGCGAAUGCUGACAUGAGUAACGAUAAUGCGGGUGAAAAACCCGCACGCCGAAAGCCCAAGGUUUCCUUGCGCAACGUUAAUCGGCGCAGGGUGAGUCGGCCCCUAAGGCGAGGACGAAAGUCGUAGUCGAUGGGAAGCAGGUUAAUAUUCCUGCACCUCGCGUAAGUGCGAUGGAGGGACGGAGAAGGUUAGGUGUACCAGGCGUUGGUUGUCCUGGGGAAAGGCGGUAGGUUUGGAUCUUUGGCAAAUCCGGGAUCCUUUAAGACCGAGCACCGAGACGAGCCUUUAUGGCGAAGUCACUGAUACCACGCUUCCAGGAAAAGCUCCUAAGCUUCAGCUUACGCAGACCGUACCGUAAACCGACACAGGUGGGUAGGAUGAGAAUUCUCAGGCGCUUGAGAGAACUCGGGUGAAGGAACUAGGCAACAUGGCACCGUAACUUCGGGAGAAGGUGCACCCUUUUUGGUGGCUCGUGCGAGCUAUAGCUGAAGAGGGUCGCAGUAACCAGGCCGCUGCGACUGUUUAUCAAAAACACAGCACUCUGCAAACACGAAAGUGGACGUAUAGGGUGUGACGCCUGCCCGGUGCUGGAAGGUUAAUUGAUGGGGUCAGCCGCAAGGCGAAGCUCUUGAUCGAAGCCCCAGUAAACGGCGGCCGUAACUAUAACGGUCCUAAGGUAGCGAAAUUCCUUGUCGGGUAAGUUCCGACCUGCACGAAUGGCGUAACGACAGCGGCGCUGUCUCCACCCGAGACUCAGUGAAAUUGAAAUCGCUGUGAAGAUGCAGCGUUCCCGUGGCAAGACGGAAAGACCCCGUGAACCUUUACUAUAGCUUUACACUGAACGUUGAGUUCGUCUGUGUAGGAUAGGUGGGAGGCUAUGAAACUGUGGCGCUAGCUGCAGUGGAGCCAUCCUUGAAAUACCACCCUGUCGUGCUUGACGUUCUAACCUGGGCCCAUUAUCUGGGUCGGGGACCGUGUAUGGUGGGUAGUUUGACUGGGGCGGUCUCCUCCUAAAGAGUAACGGAGGAGCUCGAAGGUACGCUCAGCGCGGUCGGACAUCGCGCACUGUGUGCAAAGGCAUAAGCGUGCUUGACUGCAAGAUCGACGGAUCAAGCAGGUAGGAAACUAGGACUUAGUGAUCCGGUGGUUCUGUAUGGAAGGGCCAUCGCUCAACGGAUAAAAGGUACUCCGGGGAUAACAGGCUGAUACCGCCCAAGAGUUCAUAUCGACGGCGGUGUUUGGCACCUCGAUGUCGGCUCAUCACAUCCUGGGGCUGUAGUCGGUCCCAAGGGUAUGGCUGUUCGCCAUUUAAAGUGGUACGCGAGCUGGGUUCAGAACGUCGUGAGACAGUUCGGUCCCUAUCUGCCAUGGGCGUUGGAGAUUUGAGAGGGGCUGCUCCUAGUACGAGAGGACCGGAGUGGACGAACCUCUGGUGUUCCGGUUGUCACGCCAGUGGCAUUGCCGGGUAGCUAUGUUCGGAAGCGAUAACCGCUGAAAGCAUCUAAGCGGGAAGCGCGCCUCAAGAUGAGAUCUCCCGGGGCACAAGCCCCCUGAAGGAACCAUGUAGACUACGUGGUUGAUAGGUCAGGUGUGUAAGUACAGCAAUGUAUUGAGCUAACUGAUACUAAUGAUCCGUGCGGCUUGACC
rnacentral:rRNA from 1 species